rnacentral:rRNA from 1 species
AGUGAACGCUGGCGGUAGGCCUAACACAUGCAAGUCGAACGGCAGCACAGUAAGAGCUUGCUCUUACGGGUGGCGAGUGGCGGACGGGUGAGGAAUACAUCGGAAUCUACUUUUUCGUGGGGGAUAACGUAGGGAAACUUACGCUAAUACCGCAUACGACCUACGGGUGAAAGCAGGGGAUCUUCGGACCUUGCGCGAUUGAAUGAGCCGAUGUCGGAUUAGCUAGUUGGCGGGGUAAAGGCCCACCAAGGCGACGAUCCGUAGCUGGUCUGAGGGGAUGAUCAGCCACACUGGAACUGAGACACGGUCCAGACUCCUACGGGAGGCAGCAGUGGGGAAUAUUGGACAAUGGGCGCAAGCCUGAUCCAACCAUACCGCGUGGGUGAAGAAGGCCUUCGGGUUGUAAAGCCCUUUUGUUGGGAAAGAAAAGCAGCAGGUUAAUACCCCGCUGUUCUGACGGUACCCAAAGAAUAAGCACCGGCUAACUUCGUG